CCGAGUUCCACCUCUCCGAGACAACACCGGCACACGGAUAUUUAAGAAGGUCGCAAGCAGAAAUCAAGCAGUCCUGAACGACCGUUCUGGGCUCCAUAACCAGCCAAGCGAAGUGAGCGAGGCAGGCCGACCUUAGUCGCGACGUGCACUGUUUUGAGGUGAUUCGUAAACUUAGGCAGGCCAACUCGAGACGAGACGCAAGGUGUACCGAAGUGAGACGCCCAUCCGGAGGAGGACUUCGCUGGGACAAGAUAGAAUAUUGAAUUAUUAUUUUGACUUAUUUUGUACAUAAUUUAGAAUUAAUAGAUUUGCUUUGUUUUCAA
rnacentral:lncRNA from 1 species